AGAACGAACGCUGGCGGCACGCCUAACACAUGCAAGUCGAGCGCCCAGCAAUGGGAGCGGCGGACGGGUGAGGAACACGUGGGAAUAUGCCUUUCGGUUCGGCACAACUGCGGGAAACUGCAGCUAAUUCCGGAUACGCCCUUACGGGGAAAGAUUUAUCGCCGAAAGAUUAGCCCGCGUCUGAUUAGCUAGUUGGUGAGGUAAUGGCUCACCAAGGCUUCGAUCAGUAGCUGGUUUGAGAGAACGACCAGCCACACUGGGACUGAGACACGGCCCAGACUCCUACGGGAGGCAGCAGUGGGGAAUCUUGGACAAUGGGCGCAAGCCUGAUCCAGCCAUGCCGCGUGAGUGAUGAAGGCCUUAGGGUUGUAAAGCUCUUUCGCACGCGACGAUAAUGACGGUAGCGUGAGAAGAAGCCCCGGCUAACUUCGUGCCAGCAGCCGC
rnacentral:rRNA from 1 species